AUGAUAGGUGUGGGAAAGGAAGACAGGAGGUGUGGGCAUGGUAAGGGCGGAAGUGACGUCACUUUAGAAGCAACCGUGACUGUAGAUAGGUCACGGGACUGGCAGGGUCAACCUCCUUCUCUACUAGGCACCAUCUUUAGGGUGGUGGCUGACGCACUUUCAACAAUACACUAUAUUAUAACUAAUAAAAUAAGUCAGUUCCGAGAUUUAAAUACUAAACUAUAAAUAAACCUGACAGGUUAAAUAAGACAGUUGAAAACAUUAUGCAUUUAACAGCCCAUACAGCUGUCUCUAGAAACAUGUUCUUUAAAAUGAUGCAAGAUAAACUCACGGAAUUCAACCAAUUUCCCUUAUCAUCCUUCACAUACUAGCUUAACAACUUCGCAUAUUCCCUCUAUCCACAUUGCAUAGUUUUGCAACAAAUCACGCUUGCCUUUACACUUAACACGUCCAAAUAUUCCUCUAUUCUUGUAUCAGAUUCACUUACCUAACCUCCGUAAUCAACACUGAGCUACAUUCUUGUGUCUCCC